rnacentral:rRNA from 1 species
UACGUAGGGGGCAAGCGUUGUCCGGAUUUAUUGGGCGUAAAGAGCGUGUAGGCGGCUAGAUAGGUCCGUUGUGAAAACUCGAGGCUCAACCUCGAGACGUCGAUGGAAACCAUCUGGCUAGAGUCCGGAAGAGGAGAGUGGAAUUCCUGGUGUAGCGGUGAAAUGCGCAGAUAUCAGGAGGAACACCGGUGGCGAAGGCGGCAUCCUGGACCGACACUGACGCUGAGGCGCGAAAGCUAGGGUAGCAAACGGG